rnacentral:rRNA from 1 species
GACGAACGUUGGCGGCGUGCUUAACACAUGCAAGUCGAACGGUAAGGCUCCAGCUUGCUGGGGUACACGAGUGGCGAACGGGUGAGUAACACGUGGGUGACCUGCCCUGCACUUCGGGAUAAGCCUGGGAAACUGGGUCUAAUACCGGAUAGGACCGCACCGUGAGGGUGUGGUGGAAAGUUUUUUCGGUGUGGGAUGGGCCCGCGGCCUAUCAGCUUGUUGGUGGGGUAAUGGCCUACCAAGGCGGCGACGGGUAGCCGGCCUGAGAGGGUGGACGGCCACAUUGGGACUGAGGCACGGCCCAGACUCCUACGGGAGGCAGCAGUGGGGAAUAUUGCACAAUGGGCGGAAGCCUGAUGCGGCGACGCCGCGUGGGGGAUGACGGCCUUCGGGUUGUAAACUCCUUUCACCAUCGACGAAGGGUUUCUGACGGUAGAUGGAGAAGAAGCACCGGCUAACUACGUGCCAGCAGCCGCGGUAAUACGUAGGGUGCGAGCGUUGUCCGGAAUUACUGGGCGUAAAGAGCUCGUAGGUGGUUUGUCGCGUCGUCUGUGAAAUUCCGGGGCUUAACUCCGGGCGUGCAGGCGAUACGGGCAUAACUUGAGUACUGUAGGGGAGACUGGAAUUCCUGGUGUAGCGGUGAAAUGCGCAGAUAUCAGGAGGAACACCGGUGGCGAAGGCGGGUCUCUGGGCAGUAACUGACGCUGAGGAGCGAAAGCAUGGGGAGCGAACAGGAUUAGAUACCCUGGUAGUCCAUGCCGUAAACGGUGGGCGCUAGGUGUGGGUUUCCUUCCACGGGAUCCGUGCCGUAGUUAACGCAUUAAGCGCCCCGCCUGGGGAGUACGGCCGCAAGGCUAAAACUCAAAGGAAUUGACGGGGGCCCGCACAAGCGGCGGAGCAUGUGGAUUAAUUCGAUGCAACGCGAAGAACCUUACCUGGGCUUGACAUAUACAGGAUCGCGCCAGAGAUGGUGUUUCCCUUGUGGCUUGUAUACAGGUGGUGCAUGGUUGUCGUCAGCUCGUGUCGUGAGAUGUUGGGUUAAGUCCCGCAACGAGCGCAACCCUUGUCUUAUGUUGCCAGCACGUUGUGGUGGGGACUCGUAAGAAACUGCCGGGGUUAACUCGGAGGAAGGUGGGGAUGACGUCAAAUCAUCAUGCCCCUUAUGUCCAGGGCUUCACACAUGCUACAAUGGUCGGUACAGUGGGUUGCCAGUCCGUGAGGGCGAGCUAAUCCCGCAAAGCCGGUCUCAGUUCGGAUCGGGGUCUGCAACUCGACCCCGUGAAGUCGGAGUCGCUAGUAAUCGCAGAUCAGCAACGCUGCGGUGAAUACGUUCCCGGGCCU